rnacentral:rRNA from 1 species
GACGAACGCUGGCGGCGUGCUUAACACAUGCAAGUCGAACGGAAAGGCCCUGCUUUUGUGGGGUGCUCGAGUGGCGAACGGGUGAGUAACACGUGAGUAACCUGCCCUUGACUUUGGGAUAACUUCAGGAAACUGGGGCUAAUACCGGAUAGGAGCUCCUGCUGCAUGGUGGGGGUUGGAAAGUUUCGGCGGUUGGGGAUGGACUCGCGGCUUAUCAGCUUGUUGGUGGGGUAGUGGCUUACCAAGGCUUUGACGGGUAGCCGGCCUGAGAGGGUGACCGGCCACAUUGGGACUGAGAUACGGCCCAGACGCCUACGGGAGGCAGCAGUGGGGAAUAUUGCACAAUGGGCGGAAGCCUGAGGCAGCAACGCCGCGUGCGGGAUGACGGCCUUCGGGGUGUAAACCGCUUUCGCCUGUGACGAAGCGGGAGUGACGGUAAUGGGUAAAGAAGCACCGGCUAACUACGUG